AACGAACGCUGGCGGCAGGCUUAACACAUGCAAGUCGAACGCCCCGCAAGGGGAGUGGCAGACGGGUGAGUAACGCGUGGGAAUCUACCUAGUUCUACGGAACAACAGUUGGAAACGACUGCUAAUACCGUAUACGCCCUAUGGGGGAAAGAUUUAUCGGAAUUAGAUGAGCCCGCGUAAGAUUAGCUAGUUGGUGAGGUAAUGGCUCACCAAGGCGACGAGCUUUAGCUGGUCUGAGAGGAUGAUCAGCCACACUGGGACUGAGACACGGCCGAGACUCCUACGGGAGGCAGCAGUGGGGAAUAUUGGACAAUGGGCGCAAGCCUGAUCCAGCCAUGCCGCGUGAGUGAUGAAGGCCUUAGGGUUGUAAAGCUCUUUCAGUAGGGAAGAUAAUGACGGUACCUACAGAAGAAGCCCCGGCUAACUUCGUGCCAGCCGCCGCCGCAGUAA
rnacentral:rRNA from 1 species